rnacentral:rRNA from 1 species
AGUGAACGCUGGCGGUAGGCCUAACACAUGCAAGUCGAACGGCAGCACAGUAAGAGCUUGCUCUUACGGGUGGCGAGUGGCGGACGGGUGAGGAAUACAUCGGAAUCUACUUUUUCGUGGGGGAUAACGUAGGGAAACUUACGCUAAUACCGCAUACGACCUACGGGUGAAAGCAGGGGAUCUUCGGACCUUGCGCGAUUGAAUGAGCCGAUGUCGGAUUAGCUAGUUGGCGGGGUAAAGGCCCACCAAGGCGACGAUCCGUAGCUGGUCUGAGAGGACGAUCAGCCACACUGGAACUGAGACACGGUCCAGACUCCUACGGGAGGCAGCAGUGGGGAAUAUUGGACAAUGGGCGCAAGCCUGAUCCAGCCAUACCGCGUGGGUGAAGAAGGCCUUCGGGUUGUAAAGCCCUUUUGUUGGGAAAGAAAAGCAGCAGGCUAAUACCCCGCUGUUCUGACGGUACCCAAAGAAUAAGCACCGGCUAACUUCGUG